CAGGUUUGGGCCAGUAAUUUUCUUCCCAACGAACCGGCACUGGUGGAGAGCUGUCAGAGAGACUUCCUGCAGAAGCACGGAGAGCCUUUGCUACUCCAGUAUGCUCGAAUGGAGACGCAAGCACAGGUCUGGCAUCCAUAAUGAGAAGACUCCUGGCAAAAUAUGACAACCUCUUUGAGGUCUCCUUCCCCUGUUCGAUGGAAUGGCAUGGCUGCAGAGCAGUUAAGGAAGCUUGGAGAGGAACAUUAUAAGAUGAAAAGGCAAUGGAGGGAUGGAGAACUAAAAGAGUGUGACCUGCUGGAACCUUCUAUGUCCACCGGCCAGAUAAUGAGAACAUAAAACUGUUAGAAGCAGAUGGAGCUGUAAGACGACUCAUCUGUUUUAGUGGAAAGAGGUUAAAAUCUGAACCAACUUCCUUUUGAAGCAUUCUUUUUUUUUGUCUUUUCAUUCAAGUUAUAAGUUAAAAUUGGCCCCCAAGUUUCUGUCGAGGGCCCUAAAGGCCAAACCAUGUGAGCUAGUAAUUGCUUAGUUAAGAGCCAGAAAAGUUUAACUUAGUUAAGAAAAGUUUGAAAUGACAACUUUUAAUCUUUCUUAUGAGCUUUAAAAAUGUUUAAUAAAGUUCUUCAUUUUUGGCCCAACCAUGUAAGCUAGUAAUUGCUUAGUUGAGAGCCAAAAUUGCUUU